AUCUCACUACCUAGUAAGUUCUUGGCAUAUGUACUUUCACCCAAAUGGUUGCAUCAUUCUAAGCUGAACUAACUUGGUAUAUAUUGGCAAGAAGUUUUACAUACAUAUUUAAUGCAGUGGAAUUAGAGAUAAGUUUCUUACUAGAUUGAAAGAAAAACAGAUUUUGAUUUAUAAUAUUGGAUAGGAAUCAAUUUUGUCUA
rnacentral:lncRNA from 1 species